rnacentral:rRNA from 1 species
AUUGAACGCUGGCGGAAUGCUUUACACAAGCAAGUCGAACGGUAGAGGGGGCAACCCCUCGAGAGUGGCGAACGGGUGAGUAAUAUAUCGGAACGUGCCCAGUCGUGGGGGAUAACGUAGCGAAAGUUACGCUAAUACCGCAUACGAUCUAAGGAUGAAAGCGGGGGAUCGCAAGACCUCGCGCGAUUGGAGCGGCCGAUAUCAGAGUAGGUAGUUGGUGGGGUAAAGGGUCACCAAGCCAACGAUCUGUAGCUGGUCUGACAGGACGACCAGCCACACUGGAACUGAGACACGGUCCAGACUCCUACGGGAGGCAGCAGUGGGGAAUUUUGGACAAUUGACGCAAGUCUGGUCCAGCCAUUCCGCGUGCAGGAUGAAGGCCCUCGGGUUGUAAACUGCUUUUGUACGGAACGAAAAGGUCUCUCUUAAUACGGGGGGCUCAUGACGGUACCGUAAGAAUAAGCACCGGCUAACUACGUGCCAGCCGCCGCGGUAA